rnacentral:rRNA from 1 species
UACGUAGGCAGCAAGCGUUGUUCGGAGUUACUGGGCGUAAAGGGUGUGUAGGCGGUUGUUUAAGUUUGGUGUGAAAUCUCCCGGCUCAACUGGGAGGGUGCGCCGAAUACUGAAUGACUAGAGUGCGGGAGAGGAAAGUGGAAUUCCUGGUGUAGCGGUGAAAUGCGUAGAUAUCAGGAGGAACACCGGUGGUGUAGACGGCUUUCUGGACCAUUGCUGACGCUGAGACACGAAAGCGUGGGUAGCAAACAGG